rnacentral:lncRNA from 1 species
AUGUACAAAUACAGAAGUAAAACGUACAACUUGGUAAAUAUCUACAUGCACUUCUGCAAAUGUAUUUCAUUUUCUCCCCCUUGGUUAAAAUCAGCACCAUUGGCUUCAGUGUCAAUGUCAGCACAUAACCUCCAGUCUGUGGCAGAGACCAGGAAUGCCUUUUCCUGGAUGCCCUGCUCCUUCCUCCUGCCCUACAGUGGGCCAGCAGCUGCAGCAAAUCAGGCAGUUUUCAUCAUACUCCCCACCCCAUGGGGAAGUGGAAAUUUCUCUUCCCCUCCCCUUUUUUCUCUGUUCAGCCAGAGGUGAUAAUCCCCUCGGAAUGCAGCAUUUAGCACUUGUCAGGUAUAUGGUAAUUGCUACAUUCCCAGGGGAUUAAAUCUGUGGAAUCUAAUUACAGUGGGCUGAAACCUCCCUAUAAGAGAGGAGCUCUGAUAUACAAGGAGUGAAAGUCUAUGCCUGUUGAACAUAAGUGAUGUGGUGGCUCUUCUGAGUCACCUCGCAGCUUCCCUUGGACAGGAGUUCCAGGUGGCCCUGGCAACUAGAAGCUGCUUUAUUUCUCCUCGAGUAUACCUAUCAUGAUUGGUUUUAUCUCCACUUGUUCUCAUAACAACCCAGGAUUGUGCUUCACUAAGGUCAUGUUUAAUUGUAUGUCCUCUUUGGGUGCUUACCCUCCUAUUUAAGGUGGGCAGUAGCUCUUAGGUUUGGCCUUGCCAGUGAGGUUUCUCAUUCCUGGAAUAAUAUGGAUGCAAUCCAAACCUCGCUGAAGUAAAUUGGAAUUUUACAAUUCACUCAUGAGUUUUGAUCAAAUGUUGUUUUACUAAAUCAGUUUGCAGUAUACGUCCAGGAACAAAUGCAUAUAUAUUCGUCUACAUAUGUACGUACAAAUUUUAUUAUCAAUAAUCUAAAAUAGCCUCAGUUGCUACUAAUGUGUCACCUAGAAGCACUUGAGUUCACUUCAGUUUGAAGUCAACAGAGCAUAUUGCAGAGGAGGAAAACAGAAUUCAAAAGCAGUUAAUACAAAUAUACUGAUCUAUAAAUGAUAAAAAAAAAAAAAAAAAAAAGAGAGGAAGAGGUUUGUUUAGAAGAGGAAAGAUCUCACUGUGUACAGAAAGAUGAAGUGUGUUAGUGUGUGUUAUGUGAAGAUACCAAGUAAGAUUCUUACUCUGUUUUACAGAGAUUAAAAAAAAAAAAGAUAAAAACAGAUGCAAUGUAAAUUUAUCUGUAUAGGCUGUUUUGUUGCAUUCACAUUUCCAGCUAAUAACUAUAUUUCGAGAAGAAAAAAAAAUAUGUAAUACCUCCAAUUGAAGCAGUUUGAAAUUAUAUGUGUGUCUGCCUGUUCUAAGGAAGGGACUCUGCCUUUGAUUACCUAACCAAAUAUUCUGAAAACGUGAGUUUCAAACAGAUGAGUUUCUUCUCUGCUUACAACCUACACCUGCUGACUCUGUAACUGACAAAACGCAAGUGGAAACAUUUAAAAUGUUCCUGCCUAGCUGCUUCGGUUGUAUAAUGCUGUGACUGGGUUGCCAAAAAACAGCAUUAGAAAUAAUAUCAUAGGACUGACUUUUCAAAAUCUUAGGUUUUAAAAUCAUGUGUCUGUUUCAUUUGUUUGUGAUUUCUGAGAGUUUAUGUAAUCUCAGUUCAUGUUUUCAAGCUUUGUUUUAAUUCAGAAAGGCUAAAAGAAAUAAAGAAAUAACUUUGAGAAAGUACUUAUGGUUC